rnacentral:rRNA from 2 species
CGGGUUGCGGACAGUGUCUGGUGGGUAGUUUGACUGGGGCGGUCUCCUCCUAAAGAGUAACGGAGGAGCACGAAGGUUGGCUAAUCCUGGUCGGACAUCAGGAGGUUAGUGCAAUGGCAUAAGCCAGCUUGACUGCGAGCGUGACGGCGCGAGCAGGUGCGAAAGCAGGUCAUAGUGAUCCGGUGGUUCUGAAUGGAAGGGCCAUCGCUCAACGGAUAAAAGGUACUCCGGGGAUAACAGGCUGAUACCGCCCAAGAGUUCAUAUCGACGGCGGUGUUUGGCACCUCGAUGUCGGCUCAUCACAUCCUGGGGCUGAAGUAGGUCCCAAGGGUAUGGCUGUUCGCCAUUUAAAGUGGUACGCGAGCUGGGUUUAGAACGUCGUGAGACAGUUCGGUCCCUAUCUGCCGUGGGCGCUGGAGAACUGAGGGGGGCUGCUCCUAGUACGAGAGGACCGGAGUGGACGCAUCACUGGUGUUCGGGUUGUCAUGCCAAUGGCACUGCCCGGUAGCUAAAUGCGGAAGAGAUAAGUGCUGAAAGCAUCUAAGCACGAAACUUGCCCCGAGAUGAGUUCUCCCUGACCCUUUAAGGGUCCUGAAGGAACGUUGAAGACGACGACGUUGAUAGGCCGGGUGUGUAAGCGCAGCGAUGCGUUGAGCUAACCGGUACUAAUGAACCGUGAGGCUUAACCUUACAACGCCGAAGGUGUUU